rnacentral:lncRNA from 1 species
CCCAGUAGACUGCUGUUCUACCUUAAUGAAUUCAAUGCCCUAUUUAGUUUUCACUCUUGUAGAUGGCCGAGAGGAUAAACCAGGAAUUGCCAUAUGGACUACUUUUUAUAGAAAAUUUCAGUUUAUAGAUUUUGGCUCUUAUUGUUUUGUCCUUCCCAGUUGCUAUUCAUUUUGCUGUUGAUUCUCUUGGUGGAUUGAAAUAUUCUUGAUUUUUAUAUUAC